AAGGAUUUAAGUUAACCAAACUUGUAACCUUCAAAGUUACCAAUAGGGAUCCAACUUCUUUAAGCCUUG
rnacentral:tRNA from 1 species